ACAAUGACAUAGGGGUGUGUGAAGUAAAUGUGAGGGUGCAGCGAGUAAUACAUAAACACAUGCCCAAAAAUGAGAAACAAAGACAUAGGGGGUGCGAGUUAUCAGAAUAUGGAGGUGUAUGAAGUGAAAACAAGGGUGCACAUAUUAAGAAAAAGGGGGUGCGUAUAGAUAAAAAAUUAGGGGUGCGCAGAGAUUAAAGACGGAGGUGCGUGGAGUAAAGAUGGGUCUGUCAGCCCAAACCUAACCUCUUAUUUUUUUUUUAAAUCAGAAACCCUAAAGGGUUUAUUUCUCUACCUCUCACACGCGGCUACUUCCUUGCAAAGUUUGUAGUCGCCGCACCUCCACCCUAGGUGCUGCCACUACACAUCCCACGGCCGGCGAGACACGUCACUAUCGACGCUAGCCACCACCGGAGGCGUUGUCGACGAGAACCCAACUCCCCAAAUCUUCGCGCUUCUCGUUUCUUCUCCUGCGCGCGAGACAGUCCCUCUCGUCACUGUCCAACAACAUCUCCCUAAGCUUCCUCUUGCCGCUUCAAGGCCGUCGUCGACCCUGCCAUCGCCGUCGAGGGAAUUACCGGCACUGCCAGUGCGAACAGGAGGCUCGUCCUCUCUAACUCGCGAGCUCUCUAAAACCGAAUAGAGCCCCCUAACAACGAGGUUGGUGAUCAAGAUUGGAGCUGCUGCCAUGACCACACCGUCGAGUCUCCAACCACACCCCUCUGUUCGAACUCCGACUCGCCGCCAACGAUGUCAUCAAGGAUUGCUUGUACUCACCCUUUCGGACCUUUGGAUUAUUGGUUUGUUGUUCUCGUGAUGAUCGUGCAGGGUGUUAGGGAAAGAAAUUAAGGUUCUGAAAUUGAAUAUGUUGUUUGGUGAUGGAGGUCUGUUAGUGGCUAUUUAGAAGAAGAUUGGAAAAGGUGAAUGUAGGUGUGAUGGGUUCGUUUUGGAUGUUGCAUUUGGAUAUCUUUUUUUGGGUCUCUAUUUCUUUGGUUUUUACACAGGUGAGCAAAGAAUACGAGGGUGAGAGUGGUUCAGGUUCAAUGUAGGAAGACGAGAAAUGGGGAUUGCGUGGCAAUGGUGAUGGUUUCGUGCGUGUUGGAUGAAAAUGGAUAUUGAAUCAAAUGAGUUUGAGAACGAAAGAAUGGUGACGAAGGAAUUGGCGAGGAGGUGAAAGUUAUGAAUGAAUGAUCAUGUGCGAGAGCGUGGAAAAGAGUAAACAUAAUAACAACGCUAAAUUCAAAUAAAUUCAACGCAUACAUUCACAAGCAUCAUAAUUAGACAAAGCCAAUAGAAGUUAAGCAGCUAAAGACUUACCUUGUUGUAAAAUCUCUUUCACUAUGUUCUCCUCCUGGAUGCAAUUGUCUGAUCAAGGGUGUGUUUUUUGUUCCUGUUGUGUACAGCAGAUGUUGCUUCUUACUCCUUCAACAAUCAUGACCAUGGCCAGCUAGCUAUUACAUGUAAUUCCCAAUUCAGACGGCAUAGUUGAUGCACAUCUGAACAUCUUUCAACUAGCCAAUAGCAAAAAGGCAUAGACGCCACCAUUCAAGGUUUUAAAGACAAAAGCUAUCCUAACGAGAUUGAAGCCAUGCUUACAAGGAGUAGGAGUGUUGAAGUAAAGUAAUAUGAAAUCUUAUUGGUAAAGUAGUCAUUU